AUUGAACGCUGGCGGCAGGCCUAACACAUGCAAGUCGAACGAGUGGCGGAAGGGAGAGUAAUGUCUGGGAAACUGCCUGAUGGAGGGGGAUAACUACUGGAAACGGUAGCUAAUAACGCAUACCAUCGGAUGUGCCCAUAGUGGAUGCGCGAGUAGGUGGGGUAAAGGCUCACCUAGGCGACGAUUCCUAGCUGGUCUGUGAGGAUGACCAGCCACACUGGAACUGAGACACGGGCCAGACUCCUACGGGAGGCAGCAGUGGGGAAUAUUGCACAAUGGGCUCAAGCCUGAUGCAGCCAUGCCGCGUGUAUGAAGAAGGCCUUCGGGUUGUAAAGUCCUUUCAGCGGGGAGGCGUUACCCGCAGAAGAAGCACCGGCUAACUCCGUGCCAGCAGCCGCGGUAAUAC
rnacentral:rRNA from 1 species